rnacentral:rRNA from 1 species
AUUGAACGCUGGCGGCAUGCCUUACACAUGCAAGUCGAACGGUAACAGGUCUUCGGAUGCUGACGAGUGGCGAACGGGUGAGUAAUACAUCGGAACGUGCCUAGUAGUGGGGGAUAACUACUCGAAAGAGUGGCUAAUACCGCAUGAGAUCUACGGAUGAAAGCAGGGGAUCGAAAGACCUUGUGCUACUAGAGCGGCCGAUGGCAGAUUAGGUAGUUGGUGGGAUAAAAGCUUACCAAGCCGACGAUCUGUAGCUGGUCUGAGAGGACGAUCAGCCACACUGGGACUGAGACACAGCCCAGACUCCUACGGGAGGCAGCAGUGGGGAAUUUUGGACAAUGGGCGAAAGCCUGAUCCAGCAAUGCCGCGUGCAGGAUGAAGGCCUUCGGGUUGUAAACUGCUUUUGUACGGAACGAAAAGCCCUGGGUUAAUACCCUGGGGUCAUGACGGUACCGUAAGAAUAAGCACCGGCUAACUACGUGCCAGCCGCCGCGGUAACAC